AGUGUGUACGCACUCUAAUUUCUGUUUAAAAAAGUUCAAGUUAAAGAGACAAUUAUUUUAAUUAAACACGUAUGUAGAAAGAAUUAUGCUUUAAAGAAAGCAGAAAUCAGAGACAGAAAUAUUAGUCAUAGAGUAAUAAAGUUCAAAUAAAUCCAUACCAUUUGCCUGGACACAGUAUAGAUAAAACUUACAAAGUAGUUGUAACGUAACAUUAAACUCAAAUGUGUAAUGCUUUAAAAACUAAAGUUGUACCGUGUUCUCAUUAUUUGCGGUUCUUUGCGAUAAACAGAUUCCAAAUAUCGGUUGGGGAAAGACAAAUCUGGUGUCGAAGUCUAGUUUGAGCAAAAAUGGCUGAAAAAACAAAAUUUAAAACGGAGCAGAUCGUCAAAUUGGAGGAUGGCAAUGAAGGAGCUACAAGUCGAAGCAGCUAGACCACUUGCGCAUGUUAUAGAUUGUAAGCUCAAUGAUUGCAAGUCAUUCAGGCAAGUGGUUUCAAAUUAACGCCGAAACAAGUAAGGGACCGAUGGAGCCGCUACAAGCAGGUGCCACGGACCAAUUUAAGUCAAUUUAUUCGAUCUCAGAGGGAGACCUGUGGUGGAAAACAUCUAGAGGAACCUUCUGCAAUCGAUUAUGAAAUUGCUGAAAUUUCCGAUCUGGAUUUUGUUGAAGAUGCCACAGAAUUUGAUUGCUAUGCUUUUUUUUUUUU